rnacentral:rRNA from 1 species
GUAGGCGGCAAGCGUUGUCCGGGGAAUUAUUGGGGCGUAAAGCGCGCGCAGGCGGCUCUUUAAGUCUGAUGUGAAAGCCCACGGGCUCAACCGUGGAGGGUCAUUGGAAACUGGAGAACUUGAGUACAGAAGAGGAAAGCGGAAUUCCACGUGUAGCGGUGAAAUGCGUAGAGAUGUGGAGGAACACCAGUGGCGAAGGCGGCUUUCUGGUCUGUAACUGACGCUGAGGCGCGAAAGCGUGGGGAGCAAACAGGAUUAGAUACCCUGGUAGUCCACGCCGUAAACGAUGAGUGCUAAGUGUUAGGGGGUUUCCGCCCCUUAGUGCUGCAGCUAACGCAUUAAGCACUCCGCCUGGGGAGUACGGCCGCAAAGGCUGA